rnacentral:tRNA from 1 species
GGCGCAUAGCGCAGUGGUAGCGCGUCCGCUUUGCAAGCGAAGGCCCGGUUCAAUCCCGGUGUGUCCA